GGAGGGCAUGAUACCUUUUUGAUAUCAUUACAAUUUGUCAUCUCGGGCAAUGUUGAAGUAGCAGUUAAAUCAAGCAGGUCUGUAUCUCGUCCACCAAGCUCCGUAGGAGGGCAUGAUACUUUUUCAAUAUCAUUACAAUUUGUCAUCUCGGGCAAUGUUGAAGUAGCAGUUAAAUCAAGCAGACCUGUAUCUCGUCCAUCAAGCUCCGUAGGAGGGCAUGAUACUUUUUUGCUAUCAUUACAAUUUGUCAUCUCGGGCAACAUUGAAGUAGUAGUUAAAUCAAGCAGACCUGUAUCUCGUCCACCAAGCUCCGUAGGAGGGCAUGAUACUUUUUUGCUAUCAUUACAAUUUGUCAUAUCAGGCAACGUUGAACAAGUAGUUAAAUCAAGCAGACCUGUAUCUCGUCCACCAAGCUCUGUAGGAGGGCAUGAUACUUUUUCGCUAUCAUUACAAUUUGUCCUCUCGGGCAAUGUUGAAGUAGCAGUUAAAUCAAAUAGGCCUGUGCCACAUCCACCAACCUCCGUAGGACGGCAUGAUGCUUUUUCAAUAUCAUUACAAUUUGUCCUCUCGGGCAAUGUUGAAGCAGUUAAAUCAAAUAGGCCUGUGCCACAUCCACCAACCUCCGUAGGAUGGCAUGAUGCUUUUU
rnacentral:lncRNA from 1 species